rnacentral:lncRNA from 1 species
GUGAUCCACCCGCCUCGGCCUCCCAAAGUGCUGGGAUUACAGGCGUGAGCCACCGCGCCCAGCCUAAAUGGGACAUCUUUUAACACUCCUUCCAGAGAAACCUAUAUAUUAGCUCGGCAGGGGCACACUGUUUCCAGCCUGUGCGGCAGCUAGGUGUGACCAUGUGACCAAGUCCUGACCAAUGAUAAAAGGUGGAGACUACAAAGAGGUUUAGUAACACACCAGGUUGCACCCCUCACAAAGGAGGGCAGAUGCCCACCUCUCAUCACAGGCCCAUGCUGGGGCCAUGCACACAGAUUACCUGGAAUGACUGGCCCACAGAACCCAUCAUUGGAUCACAGGCCCAUGCUGGGGCCAUGCGCACAGAUUACCUGGAAUGACUGGCCCACAGACUCCAUCACUUGGGGGUGUUUGAUGAGAGAGACAAAGUGAGAAGGCGAGUUAAAUACGUUUUGAUGAAGAUAG